UCACUUUGAAGUCAUCAGGCAGGAGGAGCUUGGAGGUUCGCAGGAAGUUGAGUAUGUAGCGGAACAUGUCCCCAUCCCGAUCGAUGAAGUAGUGCUGCUUCAGGCUGUCCAACACGAUGGGCUCUGUGCCGUCGAACAGACGCCCGAUUCUGCCCCAAAGAGAAGGACACAGGUUUCUACACUCAGCGUCUAUGGACUGAGCUGGACCAGCUGGAGACGGGUAUCUUCCAACAAGGCGAACUGCACAAUCACCUCUGCAACCCUAAGUGCAGCACCUGCAACCUUAAUGUGAACAGCUGGUCGCUGCAGUUACUUGCAAUUGGUUGCCAUCCUGAUUUGGACCAUCUUCACAUGAGCAACAUGUGAAGAUGGUGAUCAGUUUUAUAAGUCAGAGAGACAUAUUUUACAAAUGAAGAACAAACUGUAAUAACAUCUUCUAUAAUAGAAAUAUUAUAGGUAUUUUUGCAUUGGUGUUAAACUAUUUGUAAAGAUGAAUUCAAACCGGUAAGCAGCCA